GGUCUGCGUGCUGUUUCAUGGUGUCCAGGUCGGGGCCUCCAUGGCUCAGCCGUCGCCAUGGAGCCACUUAGACCGGACGGUUGGGAGUUCAACCGUCCGCAGCUGCGCCUGCGGCUGUUCCAGGUCACUUGGCAGACUGUGUUGCCCGCACAGCUCGGCCCUCGGGCUAGAGAGCCCUCCGCACCCUUCUGCAGCUGGCGGGCCGAGCUCUGACUGCAGAUUCUCGGGGUGUCCCCUGCUCCCCCGGACGUGGCAGUCGCGCAGGGCAGGAUCAGGGUGGGGCCGGGGGCCCACGCUUGUCCUUCCCAGGUGGGGCAGUGGCACCCAGGCAAGGCACAGGCUUUCGUCCCUAGGAGCCCCAGAGCCCCUCGCUGCCCACCUAACAAAGCCACUCCCCGAACCGAGCGCCCAGGAGGCUGCAGCCGACCACCGCUGGGCCCUCGGGGCGGGGCUCCUGCUCAGGACCUUCAGCCCCGCUCCUCUGGGACAGCGGCUCCUUCUCCGGAGGCAGGAGGGCGGCCUGCUGGUGGAGGGCCUGAGUCCCGGCGUCCUUCCUCCCCCGCUGCGUGGGUUUCAGGGCCGCUCGGACUCUGGGGCCGUGUCCUCAUGGCUCGGUGGAGCUGGUGGCAGGGCUUCCUCUGCCGGGGCUGUGGGGGUCCCCCAGGGGCCGCUCGGGAAGUAGAUGUCGGACCCCACGAUGCACAGGUCCUGCCCCCAGACCCGCGAUAUUGCCCGAGAUGGCAAAGGACAAGACCGAGCUAAGGAUCGGAGAAGAGGCGUUCACACUGGAUUACCGGGGUGGGGUGGAGUGUCCCAAACGCCAUCGCACGUCCUCGUAAGGACGUGGCCCAGGAGGAGCAGACACCGGGGGAGGCGGCCGAGUGAAGGCACAGGUCAGCAGAGACCAGGAUGACUUGGGCCCAAGCCGGGAACACCGUGGCCACCAGGAGCUGGGGGAGGCGGGAAGGACCCUCCCCUGGGGCCGUCGGGGGCCGCAGCCCUGCCGGCGCCUUGGCCUCGGCCCUCUGGCCCCCAGAGCCGGGAGAGAAGACGUUCCUGCCGUGAGCCACCCGGUCUGCGAGGGGCAGCCCCAGGGAGCCCACAUGAGUGCGGGGCUCAGUCACCGGAAUGACGAGGCAAGUGCCGGCGGACGGCCGUGGUCACUGGGCGCAUGGGGACAGCCAGAGACCAUCCUGCUCUGCCCGGCAGGCUUAGCAAGGGCCACCGGCCCCUCAGCACCCACAGGUGUCCGGAGGGUCUGGUGGGGCUCUGAGCCUGGAGGUGUGGCCAACUGGUCACUGGGAAGGGACAUCAGCCUCCUGGGAUCCCACCCUCCCCGACCAUCCCACUGCCCCGAGGCUCCCUGGCCAUGCGGGGUGGGACGUCUGCAAAUCUCCCGCCCAGACCAGCGGGGCUCGCACCCCUCGCCCUCCCGUCCGGGCGCGGCCACCCGUGGCCUCUUGCAGGAGAGGCUUCGAGGUCACUCACGGCCCCCGGCCGGAGGCUCUUCCCUUGGGCCCCUCUGUGUCAAGUGCCGCCUCCCCCGAGCAGUCCUCCCCACCAUCCCACCCAAAGCGGCACCCGGCACCGCCUUUCACCUCAGGUGCCCCGAGGCCCUGCCCGGCGCUUGCCAGGCGGGCAGAGUGUGGGAGGCCGGGGCACGCGCUCAGGUCAGGGUGUCCGGCUUCGAGUCUGGCUCUGCCCCUUGCCCCCUGUAACUUCUCUGUUCCUUGGGCUCAUCCUCAGUCGGUGAGGACUGUGGCGGUUCCUGCUGCACAGGGUGGGUGAGAGGCUGAGCUGGGAGCGGCAGCAGGGAGGGCAGCGUGGGGUGUCGGCGGCCACAGUCAGACCCGGGGCUGCUCUGCGGAGGGUGGCCACCACACUCAGCCCACAGGGGCCACUCUCGAAGGAGUACGUGACGGGUGAGUGACCCGGUCCCACUUCCCGGCCCUGCCACAUGCCGGGCCCCGGGACUUAGCUAAGCACUUGGGAAGCAGAGCUCCAGGCAGGCUCCACCACAGGGCUGGGACGGAGCCCCGGAAUCUGUGUGUUUAGGGCCUGCCCAAUUCGCAUAUCGGGGCAGACCCGCCGCACCCCGAGUGCACCAGCAUUGCGGGUCACCAGUCCAGUGAGACGGUCCCAGUGCGACGGUCCCCUUUCCCACUUGGUGGGGUGGGGGCACGGCUGCCCGGCCCGGCCUCCCGCCGCGGGCACCAGAGAGCGCGUGCGUGCUGAGCUUGCCCGGGACAGCGGGCCGUCAUGUGGACCACGUCCACAGCGGCCGGCCUCCCCUGACUCCGCUAGACUGAGCCUCUGAGCCCCUGCUUGCUGGGGAGGGGCUUUGGGGCCCCCUCUGGUGCCAUGAGGUUUGCGGCGCGCUUUUUAAAGGAACCCCUUUUUAUAUUAAAACAAUAAAGUAUUCCAGGGGAGCACGCUCAUCCGUCCCGGUGCUGACGCAGAAACUGAGGCAGCAGAAAGGAUUCGAGGCCCUUCCCUCUGUUAUAAGUUCCCUCGGAAGGCGAGAGUGAAAGGGAACCCGGAACAGUGCUGAGCUGUGAGAAGUUUCUGGAGGCACGUCCCGACAGUGGCCCUCUCUAAGUCGUGUCAUGGGACGCACCACUCUGACCGAGGACCCACCCAGGUGGCCCCACCGCUGGGCAGCCAUCCCUGCCACCGACGAGCAGGGACCGGCGUCCUCCUGCUGAGCACAGCUGCUGGCAAUCCUGGAUCACUGCUGCCCUCGCAGCCCGGGUCCUCAGCGGCUCAUGGCGGCGACCGGUGCCGGCACUACAGGUGGGGCUGAGAAACAUUUAACAAUGACUUGGUUUGCAUUUGAGCCCCUACCAGCCCAGGGGUGCAUUCAGCCGGGGCAGGCCCCAGCCCAGGCCCUCUGCACUGGGGUGCAUAGUGUCCCCCUAAAAUUUAUGUCCACUGGAACCCGUGAAUGUGACCUGUGGAAAUAGGGUCUCUGCAGAUGUAAUCAGGUUAGCAUCAGGUCACCCUGGACUAGCAUGGCCCUAACUCCAACAUGAGGGGGUCCUUUUGGAAGAGGGGGAUUUAGCCACAGCACACGGGAAGCACGCAGCACCCGUGACGACGGGGCAGGGACCAGGGGGUGCAGCCCAGGAGCCCCAAGGAGCCCCAAAGAGUGCCAAGGAGCAGCCCAGGAGCCCCAAGGAGCGCCAAGGAGCCCCAAUGAGCCCCAAGGAGCAACAAAGAGCCCCAAGGAGCCCCAAGGUGCAACAAGGAGCCCCAAGGAGCAAUAAGGAGCACUAAGGAGCCCCAAGGAGCAACAAGGAGCCCCAAGGAGCUCCUAGGAGCCCCUAGGAGCAACAAAGAGCCCCAAGGAGCCCCAAGGAGU